rnacentral:sRNA from 1 species
UUACCCAGGGUCCCACAGCUUGUGAAUGGUGGAGCUGGGAUUCACACACACAGCCAAUCUUGACCAUUUGCUGCUUUGGUGAGCAGGGCCAGCUGCCCCCACCCUCACUCCCUUCCCACCCACAGGACAGCGGGGGGUGGACGCCCAUCAUCUGGGCUGCAGAGCACAAGCACAUCGAAGUGAUCCGCAUGCUACUGACGCGGGGCGCCGACGUCACCCUCACUGACAACGAGGAGAACAUCUGCCUGCACUGGGCCUCCUUCACGGGCAGCGCCGCCAUCGCCGAAGUUCUUCUGAAUGCGCGCUGCGAUCUCCAUGCUGUCAACUACCACGGGGACACCCCCCUGCACAUCGCAGCUCGGGAGAGCUACCAUGACUGCGUGCUGUGAGCCCCUGCCCCACCCUUGAUGCCCCUGCCCCCACUUCUUGCAGCCUCAGACCCCACAUUUUGGGCAUCCUGUCCCCUCUUCAGGUUAUUCCUGUCACGUGGAGCCAACCCUGAGCUGCGGAACAAGGAGGGGGACACAGCAUGGGACCUGACUCCCGAGCGCUCCGACGUGUGGUUUGCGCUUCAACUCAACCGCAAGCUCCGACUCGGGGUGGGAAAUCGGGCCAUCCGCACAGAGAAGAUCAUCUGCCGGGACGUGGCUCGGGGCUAUGAGAACGUGCCCAUUCCCUGUGUCAAUGGUGUGGAUGGGGAGCCCUGCCCCGAGGAUUACAAGUACAUCUCGGAGAACUGCGAGACGUCCACCAUGAACAUCGACCGCAACAUCACCCACCUGCAGCACUGCACGUGUGUGGACGACUGCUCCAGCUCCAACUGCCUGUGCGGCCAGCUCAGCAUCCGGUGCUGGUAUGACAAGGAUGGGCGAUUGCUCCAGGAAUUUAACAAGAUUGAGCCCCCACUGAUUUUCGAGUGUAACCAGGCAUGCUCAUGCUGGAGAAACUGCAAGAACCGGGUCGUACAGAGUGGCAUCAAGGUGCGGCUACAGCUCUACCGAACAGCCAAGAUGGGCUGGGGGGUCCGCGCCCUGCAGACCAUCCCACAGGGGACCUUCAUUUGCGAGUAUGUUGGGGAGCUGAUCUCUGAUGCUGAGGCUGAUGUGAGAGAGGAUGAUUCUUACCUCUUCGACUUGGACAACAAGGAUGGAGAAGUGUACUGCAUUGAUGCCCGUUACUAUGGCAACAUCAGCCGCUUCAUCAACCACCUGUGUGACCCCAACAUCAUUCCCGUCCGGGUCUUCAUGCUGCACCAAGACCUGCGAUUUCCACGCAUCGCCUUCUUCAGUUCCCGAGACAUCCGGACUGGGGAGGAGCUAGGGUUUGACUAUGGCGACCGCUUCUGGGACAUCAAAAGCAAGUAUUUCACCUGCCAGUGUGGCUCUGAGAAGUGCAAGCACUCAGCCGAAGCCAUUGCCCUGGAGCAGAGCCGUCUGGCCCGCCUGGACCCACACCCUGAGCUGCUGCCUGAGCUCGGCUCCCUGCCCCCUGUCAACACAUGAGAACGGACCACACCCUCCCUCCCCAGCAUGGAUGGCUACAGCUCAGCCACCUCCUCUGCCACCAGCUGCUCGCAGCCCAUGCCUGGGGGUGCUGCCAUCUUCUCUCCCCACCACCCUUUCACACAUUCCUGACCAGAGAUCCCAGCCAGGCCCUGGAGGUCUGACAGCCCCUCCCUCCCAGAGCUGGUUCCUCCCUGGGAGGGCAACUUCAGGGCUGGUCACUCCCCUGUUCCCCAUCCUCAGUUGAAGUUUGAUGAAUUGAAGUCGGGCCUCUAUGCCAACUGGUUCCUUUUGUUGUCAAUAAAUGUUGGGUUUGGUAAUAAA